UGUGUAUGUGAGUUUUAAAUAUCCACUGAAAAAUGGGAAUUGCCUCGACCUAUGUCUAACUAUUUUAAACCUGGAGUUCUGGAGAAACCACAAGCGUCCUCCAAACCUCGCUCGGCCUUCAGCGGCUAAAGUCACUUAACUCGGAGGCCUCCCACAAAG